CCUACGGGGGGCAGCAGUGGGGAAUAUUGGACAAUGGGCGGAAGCCUGAUCCAGCAACGCCGCGUGAGGGAUGACGGCCUUCGGGUUGUAAACCUCUUUCACCUCCGACGAAGCGAAAGUGACGGUAGGGGGAGAAGAAGCACCGGCCAACUACGUGCCAGCAGCCGCGGUAAUACGUAGGGUGCGAGCGUUGUCCGGAAUUAUUGGGCGUAAAGGGCUCGUAGGCGGUUUGUCGCGUCGGGAGUGAAAACACUGGGCUUAACUCGGUGCUGGCUUCCGAUACGGGCAGACUAGAGGUAUUCAGGGGAGAACGGAAUUCCUGGUGUAGCGGUGAAAUGCGCAGAUAUCAGGAGGAACACCGGUGGCGAAGGCGGUUCUCUGGGAAUUACCUGACGCUGAG
rnacentral:rRNA from 1 species